GAUGAAGAACGUAGCGAAAUGCGAUAAGUAGUGUGAAUUGCAGAAUUCAGUGAAUCAUCGAAUCUUUGAACGCACAUUGCGCCCGCCAGUAUUCUGGCGGGCAUGCCUGUCCGAGCGUCAUUUCAACCCUCAAGCCCCCGGGCUUGGUGUUGGAGAUCGGCGAGCCCCCCGGGGCGCGCCGUCUCCCAAAUAUAGUGGCGGUCCCGCUGUAGCUUCCUCUGCGUAGUAGCACACCUCGCACUGGGAAACAGCGUGGCCACGCCGUAAAACCCCCCACUUCUGAAAGAUUGACCUCGGAUCAGGUAGGAAUACCCGCUGAACUUAAGCAUAUCAAUAAGCGGAGGA
rnacentral:misc_RNA from 1 species